GGAGAAAGGUUGUUUUCUGCUGCUCCAGAGAAGCGGACACGGAGCAAUGGAUCCAAACUACAAGAAAGAAGAUUCCACCUAAACAUUAGGAAGAACUUCCUGACAGUAAGAGCUGUUCGACAGUGGAAUUUGCUGCCAAGGAGUGUGGUGGAGUCUCCUUCUUUGGAGGUCUUUAAGCAGAGGCUUGACAACCAUAUGUCAGGAGUGCUCUGAUGGUGUUUCCUGCUUGGCAGGGGGUUGGACUCGAUGGCCCUUGUGGUCUCUUCCAACUCUAUGAUUC